rnacentral:lncRNA from 1 species
AAUAGCAUUUGUGGCAGAGUAAUUUUUACAAUGGCAUAUAGCUCAAAUAAUCCAUGGGAUGAAUUAGUGGGUAGUUGGUUUACAAAUAAUAUCCUUACCAUCUAAUUAUGCUGCAAUUUCAUAUCACAUGACGUGGCAGGUGAGGUGAGGUGAGGUGAGGUGAGGUGGAUACUCACUAAUGUAGAAUGGCUAGGAGAGAUAUUCAUGGAGCAGCUUGACAAGCGUAAAUCAAAGAAAAUUCAGUCUUACAUGAACGUGUUUCUUCAUUUUAUUGAUCAAAGAUUGCUACCGGCCACAUCGACGACGAACCUGUACCUGACGUCGUUUUUCUCCAACCUCUCGAAAGCUGUGUUGAUGUAGUCCAUCUUAACCACUUCGAUCAUAGUUGUCAAUCCUCUCUCUUUGCAGAACUGAAGCACCUCCUCUGUUUCCUUCAUGCUCCCAACAAAGCUCCCUGUGAUCGUCUUCCUCCCUAUGCAUAAUUGCACAGCAGAGAAAAUAAAACAAUGGGUCAGUCACUAGUCUUAUAAACCUUAAGCAGUUAGGGAAUAAUAUAACAAUAUACAUACAUACAUAUAUAUAUAUAUAUAUAUGAGUUCUUCAUGUUUAUCGCUUAGAUUCUAAGUUUACCACUUCUGAGUUCUAAAAGACCAAAAAUCUCGACUUCAAACCUAAAUCUAAGCUCGUAAGAUAAUUCUACACCUUAAAAAUAAGCAGCUCCCCUGAGAAAGGGAUUAAAAAGAGACAAUUUUGCACACAUUUUAACAAGGUUCAUAAAUAAGAGUGUUGCAGCAAGUGAAAAAAAAAAAGGUGUGCAAAUAUCAUUUUCCGAUCGAAAAUUUGAUUAAACAGCUGCCGGUUGAAGGCGGUGACAGAAGAUCGGACUCACCAAGCAUGACCAUUGGGGAAAGAAAUUGUAAUGGGGUGUUAAUAGCACCCAUCAAGAUCAAUUUGCCGUCAAGUUUCAACAAAGAGAGGUACGGCUCGAGUGGGUGGCCGACGGGCACUGUGUCAAUGAUGUAAUCCAAGGAGUCAGCAGCCUCCUGCAUUUUUGUGGCAUCUGAGCUGAUCAAGUACUCGUCGGCCCCAAUAUGCUCCAAAGCCUCCUCUCUCUUCUUUUCUGAAGAGCUUAUCACAGUCACAUGGUGCCCCAUGGCCUUGGCUAUCUUCACUCCCAUGUGUCCUACACCUCCAAGUCCAAGUAUUCCUCCUUUUAACCCAUCCACAUUCAGGCCAAAGUGCCUCAGUGGGCUGUACACCGUCACCCCCGCGCAAAGCAGCGGCGCCGCCUGUUCUGGCACCAUGCCCUCCGGUACCUUCACCACAAACCUUAACAAAAAAAAUAUAAAUAAAUAAAUAAAUAAAAUUAGUCUGAAAUUAUUAAAGAAUGAAUUUGGAUUAAUAUUUUUUAAAGUAACUUUAAAAAAAAUGUAGACUAUCAUAAUUUAAUUUUAUGAAUAUUUUAACUUAAAAAUAUUUAGAUUCUGAUAAAUAGGUAUUUAUAUAAUUUUUGGGUGAAUUUGAUUUAUGGGCUCAUAAUGGUGGCCGACACACCCACGUGCGUGGGCCCCUGUGUUGUUAGUGCCUCACAGAUUCGUGGUGUUGGGCACGCCUGUGCUAUGCGUGUAUGUUUGUGUUGGUCGCGUCCAUGCGCAUAGUUGGGCCAACCUACUAACCCAGUGUUAAAUCCAGACGGAAUUUGCCCCAAAAUUGAGUUUUUGGUUAAAAAUAUUUAUAUUAUGAUAAAUAGGUAUUUAUAUAUUUUUUGGUGAAUUUGAUUUAUGGGCUCAUAAUGGUGGCCGACACACCCACGUGCAUGGGCCCCUGUGUUGUUAGUGCCUCACGCAUUGGUGGUGUUGGGCGCACCUGUGCUAUGCGUGUAUGUUUGUGCUGGGCGCGUCCAUGCGCACAGUUGGGCCAACCUACUAACCCAGUGUUAAAUCCAGACGGAAUUUGCCCCAAAAUUGAGUUUUCAGUUAAAACUUAUUUUUGCCCAAGGGUUGCAGCAAUUUAGGGUGAGUUUAAAACCUAAAAAUUGAUUUUUACUCCAAGAAUUAGAGUAGGUCUAAGGAUCAUCUCAUUUCUCCACUUAGUUAUAACAAAUUUUCACCGUAAAAUUUUCAAAAUCGGGAUUGUUCUAUCUUCUAAUCUUCAUUUGAAAAUCAUAUCUACAAAAAUAAUCAUUUGAAUCAGAUCAGUUAGUCAUCUAAAUGAAUGAAAUAAAUCAACGGUUCAUCAUGAAUAUGCUACUUUGUACCUACAUCGUUUGAUUUAUUUAAUAUAUUAAAUGACUAAACGAUAAAUUUCUACGGUGAAUAUACGUUAUUUGUAUGUGAGAGAAUAAGCACAUCCCAUAAAAUUAAGGGAGAUUGCAAAUAUUAUCCUAUUUUUAUUAGGCAUAUUAUGCUUUGGUCCUUACUUUUGGUCAACCACCAUAGCACCGGAAAAGCCGCCUUGGGUGGGUUUGCCAUCGGUGUAAACGUCAGCGUAUGUCCAGAUUUUCUUGUUGCAGUAUUGCUCAUUGUCUGUGUUGCAAGGGUUGCAGUUUCUGCAGCAACCAACAACGAGGCCAACUCCUACCACAUCUCCUACUCUGAACUUGGUCACAUCUGAUCCAGCCUCCACCACCUUACCAACCACUUCAUGCCUGUUCAUGGGCAACACACAUUAUAAUUAAUAAAAUCAUAAGCUGCACGUGUACGCAAGCUGAUUCUGACCAUUCUUCAUGCGUGAAUGUAGACCUCACAAAACAGGAACGGCCAGGAUCAGGUGUGAGCGUCUGGUUUUAGCACUUCUCUUGAUAGAAACAUAAAUAAAAGGAAGAAUGAUUUAUCAUACCCAGGAACCAGGGGAUAGUGUGACAUGCCAAGUUGAUUUUUUGCCUGGUGCGUAUCAGUGUGGCAAACUCCACAGAAUAGGACUUUGAUGUAAACAUCUUCUGGGCCUGUGUUUCUGCAUAUGGUUUUAAUAAAAAAGAUUCAGCUGCCACAUAAAAUAGAUCACUACUCCUCACUAUCUUUAUUUACCAAAUUUAGUAGAUAAGCGAACAUGUCGUACUACUUCAGUUCCAAAUACGAGAGAGAACUGAGAAAAUCGUUUAGUAAACAAAUUUAGCGAAUCUGUAUGUCAUACAGAAAGGGAGGGACAUAAGAUUUUAUUACCUAAUAGUGUAGGUAUAGGGUGAGAGAGUGCCAGAUGCGUCUCUUGCAGCCCAUCCUGUGGUUGUUCUCUCCGCUUCUAGGUUGCCCAUUUGAAUUUGUUUUGGAGAGAGAGAGAGAGAGAGAGAGAGAGAGGGGUUGGGUUGGUUGGUGAUCGUCUUUCAGAGAAGAGAGGCCAAGUUUUUGGGUAUUAGAAGAAGCGGAGUAAGGUAUUAAAUAGAGAAGGCCAAAGUUAGGUUAAGAAGUUGGACACCUAUGCUUUGUCUACUGAAAUUAAGAGAAGAAAAAAUUGGUUUCUUUGACAUCGGGACAUUUUUGAGGUCUAUACUUUUGACACGUGCAUUUCAUCCUCAUCGUUUUCAUCCAACGCAAGUAGAAAUAGUACCAUUUAGAUUUUAGUUCAAUUCUCCGAACAAAACCAAAUAUGAAAUUGUCUUUUGUUUUUGUCAAAAUAUGAAAUUGAAUAAAUGGUGAACUGUUAUAAAUAUGUAAGAGUUAGAGGGAUAAUCUUUUUAGUGAAUGAAAUGAAGCAGGUAUAAAAUGUCACACUGAAAAUAAUAACACAAGAGAAUAACAAAUAAAAGAUGGAGGAAGAGAUUUCUUUCUUUCUGUUUUCUGCUCUCUUUUGAUUGCAAUCGAGUGCUCUAUUUAUAGAGCAACUCGUAUUACUACAUUUGAAAUUUACAACACCCUUUUUGACAAUAUGAUAUCCUGCAUCCCCCAAAGUCAGUUUUCAAUUUGUAUGGACAUUGAAAACUUCUACCAAUGUUGGAAAACUUCUACCAAUGCACUGUGGGCAUUCAUUACCCACUGGUAUUUUCAACAUGAACCAUGUUAUUAAAUUAUACGUUCAAAUUUUGAUAACGUUAAAUGAAAAGUUGUAAGAUUCUUGAUUUGGUUGAUUUUUAACAAAGUUCAUCUUCAUAAGGUGAACUGUAAAAGAAGAUCAUAAUUUUGAUUAUGUGCAACAUUGCACAAUUAAAGGUGGAACUGAGAUGGCAGAACGAGAAGGUCCAACUAAGAAUGUUCGUAGCAUCACCCAUGAAUACGCCAACACCAACAAAAGUCAAAAAAAAAGAAGAAACGAGGAAAAAUAGUGACACUUGACACAAAUGAAAAGAUCGACUUCAAUAUUUUCCAGCCAUAUCAUAAAAUCCACGUUUUUGGAACGAUCAACUCACAGGCUAUUCUUGCUUUUAGGAGGGGCCUUUGGCACAUGUAUCAUGCUUCUCUGAUGCGAUCAUUUCUUUCACUAUCUUUUGGAAGCUUGCCCAAAUUGAGUGUUUCUUUUGGAUUCAACCAGUAUGGCAGUAGUACACCGUCGGUAACUUGUCUAAUAAUUGAGGUGUCGAGCGAGUAUGCUCAAAUUCAAAUGGAUUUUUCGGAGUAAUUUGACAAUGGGAUAGAGCUCAAAUAAUCCAUGUGAUGAAUUAGAGGGUAGUUGGUUUACAAAUAAUAUUUGUAUUCUUACCAUCUAAUAAUGCUGCAAUUUCAUAUCACAUGACGUGGCAGGUGAGGUGGACAAUCACUAAUGUAGAACAGCUAGCAGAGAUGUUCAUGGAGCAGCUUG